UACGAAGGGGGCUAGCGUUGUUCGGAAUUACUGGGCGUAAAGCGCACGUAGGCGGGCGAUUAAGUCAGGGGUGGAAAUCCCGGAGCUCAACUCCGGAACUGCCUUUGAUACUGGUCGUCUAGAGAUCGGAAGAGGUGAGUGGAACUCCUAGUGUAGAGGUGGAAUUCGUAGAUAUUAGGAAGAACACCAGUGGCGAAGGCGGCUCACUGGUCCGGUACUGACGCUGAGGUGCGAAAGCGUGGGGAGCAAACAGG
rnacentral:rRNA from 1 species